rnacentral:rRNA from 1 species
CUCUGUGACUCCUACGGGAGCAGCAGUGGGGAAUAUUGCACAAUGGGCGCAAGCCUGAUGCAGCAACGCCGUGUGAGUGAAGAAGGUUUUCGGAUCGUAAACUCUGUCCUAAGGGAAGAAACAAAUGACGGUACCUUAGGAGGAAGCCCCGGCUAACUACGUGCCAGCAGCCGCGGUAAUACGUAGGGGGCAAGCGUUAUCCGGAAUCACUGGGCGUAAAGGGUGCGUAGGCGGCUUAGCAAGCCAGGGGUGAAAGGCAUUGGCUCAACCAAUGUAAGCCUUUGGAACUGUUAAGCUUGAGUGCAGGAGAGGUAAGUGGAAUUCCUAGUGUAGAGGUGAAAUUCGUAGAUAUUAGGAGGAACACCAGUGGCGAAGGCGACUUACUGGACUGUAACUGACGCUGAUGCACGAAAGCGUGGGUAGCGAACAGGAUUAGAUACCCUGGGAG